rfam:Capsicum annuum cultivar Zunla-1 chromosome 4, whole genome shotgun sequence
AGACUGUUGGUGAUGUGGACAAUCUCUAAGAAGGUCCUUGAAUCAUUCCCAAGCAUGAUAGAACUUUUCAUCAAUAUUUUAUUUGAUACUCACUAUCUCACUAUGAAGUCU